AGUUUUAUAGUGUUGAGAAAUACCAGCUGGCUUUGAGGAAAUACACGCUUAACACUGACUCGUUAGCAAUAACACGCAGUAGUUAAGGUUGGUUGUGUGCUUACCUAACUAUGCAGAUGCAACUAUGCACCACAUGAGAUAGAAAGAUGGUAGUAUCGUAAAGGUGUAUCAAACAUUGCUGCCAAACAUUUUUCGCAGCAGGCGGCGGUGGGUCAGUGUAGUUCAGUGUAGCUUCGUACGUGUGCUACAACCGGUAACAACGCUGCCGCUGCCUACAACCGCUGCAAGAAGCAUGCAUCAAAACAUUCAUUACCGGCUACCAGCGACUGGACCCGACUCAGCAACCUUGAAGACGGCAUGCCUUGCUCCUCGCUCGUUCAUUUGGUUCGGGAACGAGCAUUUGGUCCACGGCGAUAUGUAUCGGUUCAAACAUUGUCAAGGUCAGAAAGGAGUAAAGUAGAGGUCUCCAACUCAUAUUAGCAUGUGCUACAACAGCUAGUCUGCGGGCUGCAGAGGAAAGUUACAGCUAAUCCGCGGGCCGCACCACAUAAAGAAAAUGUUUUUUCAUUAAAUUUUACGCACUUUGAUUUGGUUUGGAUAUGAAAUAAAUCGUAUCGGUCACUUCUGUGCCGGCAGCUGAGCCGACGAGAA